rnacentral:rRNA from 1 species
AUUGAACGCUGGCGGCAGGCCUAACACAUGCAAGUCGAGCGGAGCGGCGGACGGGUGAGUAAUGCCUAGGAAUCUGCCUGGUAGUGGGGGAUAACGUCCGGAAACGGGCGCUAAUACCGCAUACUAUCAGAUGAGCCUAGGUCGGAUUAGCUAGUUGGGGGGGUAAAGGCCUACCAAGGCGACGAUCCGUAACUGGUCUGGGGGGAUGAUCAGUCACACUGGAACUGAGACACGGUCCAGCCUCCAACGGGGGGCAGAAGGGGGGAAUUUUGGAAAAUGGGGGAAAGCCUGAUGCAGCCAUGCCGGGUGUGUAAAGAAGGUCUUCGGAUUGUAAAGCACUUUAAGUUGGGAGGCGUUACCAACAGAAAAGGCACCGGCUAACUUCGUGCCAGCAGCCGGGGAAAUA